rnacentral:rRNA from 1 species
GCAAGUCGAACGCAGUAGCAAUACUGAGUGGCAAACGGGUGAGUAUAAUGUGGGAAUCUGCCUUUUGGUUUGGAAUAACACGGGGAAACUUGUGCUAAUACCAAAUAAGCCCUUACGGGGAAAGUUUUAACGCCGAAAGAUGAGCCUGCACUUGAUUAGCUAGUUGGUAAGGUAAAAGCUUACCAAGGCUACGAUCAAUAGCUGUUCUUAGAGGAAGACCAGCCACAUUGGGACUGAGACACGGCCCAGACUCCUACGGGAGGCAGCAGUGGGGAAUCUUGCACAAUGGGGGAAACCCUGAUGCAGCGAUGCCGCGUGAGUGAAGAAGGCCUUUGGGUUGUAAAACUCUUUCGUCGGGGAAGAAAAUGACUGUACCCGAAUAAGAAGGUCCGGCUAACUUCGUGCCAGCAGCCGCGGUAAUACGAAGGGACCUAGCGUAGUUCGGAAUUACUGGGCUUAAAGAGCUCGUAGGUGGUUAAAAAAGUUGAUGGUGAAAUCCCAAGGCUCAACCUUGGAACUGCCAUCAAAACUUUUUAGCUAGAGUGUGAUAGAGGUAAGUGGAAUUUCUAGUGUAGAGGUGAAAUUCGUAGAUAUUAGAAAGAACACCAAAUGCGAAGGCAACUUACUGGGUCACUACUGACACUGANGAGCGGAAGCAUGGGUAGCGAAGANGAUUAGAUACCCUCGUAGUCCAUGCCGUAAACGAUGUGUGCUAGACGUUGGAAAUAUAUUUUUCAGUGUCGCAGCGAA